GCCGGAGUGGCGGAAUUGGCAGACGCCUGGGACUUAAAAUCCCAUGGGAGAGAUCCCGUGCCGGUUCGACCCCGGUCUCCGGCACCA
rnacentral:tRNA from 1 species